UUCUCCUGGAUCCAUCAUCUGAGAAUCAUCACUUUUCCGCUUAGUCAAUCCUAGCCAUUUUUACAUUUCGAAAAUCUUGGUUUGUUUUACUAUUUUUUCACAAAUAUUUAAAUGCACAAUGCCUAGAGUUCUUCAAAAACAAAUGACAAUACCCUCAAAUAGCAUAGAAAAGUAAGAAACAGAAAGCAAAAAGAAGACGAAAUCCCUGCUGUAAGAGACACCAGAUUGACAUAUUCUAAAUGAAACUAAAGUAAUACGAGUCUGGAAAUGGUGGCGACAUAUAGUGCAGAUAUGCUAAUAAAUUGAUCAACUGUAAAAUGAGAUGAAAGGUCUUAUUCUGGGAGUAUAUACCGAACAGAAAGAUCAGUUCAACGAAGUCUCGUCCUUUACGCCAACAUUUAAAGAAAUAGAUGACAAAUCCAAUGGGCAGUUAGCUGCAGCCUUAAAAUCAACCGGCCCAUUUUAUAAACCUGCAAAGCACAAACUUCUUUGGCUUUCUAUGUUAAAGGAUCUGAAAAUUGAUGGUGAUUAUAGCUGCUUGUCUGUUGUUGACUUGGGGUCUGAAAAUGUGAAGGAAGAUAAACUUGAAUGCUUAGAUGUGAAAUAUGAAAAUAUAAGAUGUGCUAUUGCAGAUGGAAUCAAAUCUCUAAGAGCAUGUUCUCAGUUUGAAGACAUCUAUCUAGAUGCUUGUGAUUCUCCUCAAAGUGUUGCAGAAGCUGCUGCUUUAACUCUUUAUUCUUAUGAUGAGUUAAAACAAAAAUCAUCUCGUAAACCAAAAAGUCAAUUACAUUUGUACAAGUCCUCUAGUGUACUAGAAGAAAGUUUGAUGUUAUUUAAAAGAGGUUUGCUUUUUGCUGAAAGUCAAAAUUUUGCUCGCUCUCUGACAGAAACUCCAGCAAAUCUUAUGACACCGACUAUUUUUUCAAAAACUGUUGCGGAAAAAUUUAAGGAUACUUCUGUGGAAGUAAUUAUUAGAGAUGAAGACUGGAUUAAAUCUAAAAAAAUGGGAGCCUUUUUAAGUGUUACUAAGGGUUCUGAUGAACCACCUAAAUUUUUAGAAAUUCACUAUAAUGGUCAACCUGAUUAUGACAAAAGCAUUGCCUUAGUUGGAAAGGGCAUCACAUUUGAUAGUGGAGGAAUAUCUUUGAAACCAUCUUCCAAUAUGGAUAAGAUGCGAGGUGAUAUGGGAGGAGCUGCUUGUGUGGCUGCAGCUAUUUGGGCUGCAAAUGCUUUAAAUCUGAAAGUUAAUUUAAAAGGCUUUAUCCCUCUCUGUGAGAAUUUACCCAGUGGAAAAGCUAGUAAACCUGGAGAUGUUGCCUAUGCAAUGAAUGGAAAGUCAAUUCAAAUUGAUAAUACAGAUGCAGAAGGAAGGCUAAUUCUUGCAGAUGGAUUAUGUUAUGCACAAACUUUUAAACCAGAGGUUGUUGUUGACCUUGCUACAUUAACAGGUGCAAUAAUUGUGGCUUUGCACAGUGCAGCAACUGGUGUUUUUUCAAAUGAUGAUUACUUGUGGAACAUCUUAAACAAGGCUGGUUAUACAACAGGAGAUCGAGUUUGGCGAAUGCCUUUAUUUAAACAUUUUACAAAAUUAGUUUCGAAGUGCCAGUUAGCUGACCUUAAUAAUAUUUCAACAUCUGGACCAUAUGGAGGAUCAUGUCUUGCAGCUGCCUUUUUGCAGGAGUUUAUAGAAAAAGAUAUGAAGUGGCUUCAUUUAGACAUCGCUGGUGUUAUGGAGAAUAAAGAUGAAGUGCCUUAUCUAUGUAGUGGGAUGUCAGACCUUAGGCAAUCUCCUGAUUGGCCAUUCACUCUGUUAUACCAGUUUAUUCCAUUGCUGUGUAAUCUCUCCAUUUUGCUCUUAAUUUUUACAUACUGAUCUGUCUAUAACAUCUAUAAAGUUGAAUUGAUUGGGAGCUGGAAGGUAUUUGGUCGACCAACACGAACACUAGUUCAAUUUCUGGGAAGUCUAGCUGAUUCAUUUGCUGAUAAAAAAUAGACAGGAAAUGUUCAGUAUCUUUUUAUAUUAAAUAAUUUAUACAUGCUCAA